rnacentral:lncRNA from 1 species
AAGAGCGGGAAAGUUGCGUAUCGUCAUCGUGUCAAUGGCGUCCUAAAAUGUUUGGGGAUAAUGCUGUUCUAUGACGGAUUGAAGGUCGUUUUAUUUCGCGAACGAAGACGGAAAUGUUUUACCUGAGGAUUGGAGCAGGGUUUUAGUGUUUUCUCUUGCCAUUUGAAGCGAGAAACACAUUUUACUGUGAAGAAAUGAACCGACUGGAACCGAAUGCGGUUUGAUGCUUCUUGCCUGAAACGUGCUAAAGGAAGGUCAAACAAUCACAGGCCUCGGAAAAUACCCUUCUGUGUGUCACACAAUAUGAGCAUCUACAGGUUACGGUUGGCGUCAUCAUUAGCAGGUCUGUGUCAGCCAGCAGCCCAGAGGGAGUUCAGAGAGGACCUGAGCUGUGAGAUGAGGUGAAAGCAGCCCAUAUUCCCUCAGUGACGGAGCGGCAAUUACCCCAAACUGUGAGUGCGUCCUCCUACCGGCCGCAGGAACAAUGGACUGUCUGUCAGUGGCGGUGUUGCCCAAGCAGAACAGAUGUGUGUGGACACGCGAGACAAUGGCGUGGCUGGAUAAGUGGGUUCCUGAUCUCCGAGGCAGGGGGGUCGGGGGGGACGGCAGCUUGUGUCCGAGACGCCUCCGUGGGGCGAGGGAGAAAUCCACAGGACCAGCGAAGAGCCCGAUCCAUCCCAAACACACACACACACACUCAGGAGCUGUCAUGGCCCCUGCGGAGACAGACCCUGCUGAUCGGCUGCUAAUGGACAUCUGCUAUAAAUGCCUCGCACCCGUCGCUCUGAUGAGACGGAGAUUAGUGCGUAUCGUGGAUGCACGUCCGCUCUACUCACACAAACAAAGCAAACUGACGAGAAAUAAUGCAAAAUCCACUGGGCUAAGUGGAAAAUCCCCUGUAUGAAGUCACACUCAGUCCAUAAGGAAGGCCGGAUCAGCCGGGAGACGUGUCAGUCCAUCUGAACCACUGCCAAUUUUCAAAUUAGCACCAAUUUUCUCCCCGGACAGCAGUUGGCGUUUCUCUUUUAAGAUUGUUGCUUUCGUUUUGAAAAAUAUGGUUCCUCUGAUGUCAUAGAGGAUCUUAUUUUUACGAUUCCUAGAGAACCUUUUCUUGGUUUUGUUUUUUAGGACAUUUUUAAAAUCUGACUUUAAAGAACCUUCCGUGGAAUGGAAAUAUUAUGUGUAAAGUAAAAGCUUCUAAGUGGAACCCUCUAUAGCUAUUUUAAUAUCCUCCUGUUUUAUGUGCAUUUCAGAAAGUCGCAUUAAAAAAAGCUUAAAGGUUC